AUGGGGGCAACCCUGAUCCAGCAAUGCCGCGUGUGUGAAGAAGGCCUUCGGGUUGUAAAGCACUUUUGUCCGGAAAGAAAACUUCGUCCCUAAUAUGGAUGGAGGAUGACGGUACCGGAAGAAUAAGCACCGGCUAACUACGUGCCAGCAGCCGCGGUAAUACGUAGGGUGCGAGCGUUAAUCGGAAUUACUGGGCGUAAAGCGUGCGCAGGCGGUGAUGUAAGACCGAUGUGAAAUCCCCGGGCUUAACCUGGGAACUGCAUUGGUGACUGCAUUGCUGGAGUAUGGCAGAGGGGGGUGGAAUUCCACGUGUAGCAGUGAAAUGCGUAGAGAUGUGGAGGAACACCGAUGGCGAAGGCAGCCCCCUGGGCCAAUACUGACGCUCAUGCACGAAAGCGUGGGGAGCAAACAGGAUUAGAUACCCUGGUAGUCCACGCCCUAAACGAUGUCAACUGGUUGUCGGGCCUUCAUUGACUG
rnacentral:rRNA from 1 species